rnacentral:rRNA from 1 species
CCUUUUGGGGGUACACGAGCGGCGAACGGGUGAGUAACACGUGGGUGACCUGCCUUCAGCUCUGGGAUAAGCUUGGGAAACUGGGUCUAAUACCGGAUAUGACUGUCUGCCGCAUGGUGGGUGGUGGAAAGUUCUUGGGCUUUGGUCUGGGUUCGGCUGGGGAUGGGCCUGCGGCCUAUCAGCUUGUUGGUGGGGUGAUGGCCUACCAAGGCGACGACGGGUAGCCGGCCUGAGAGGGCGACCGGCCACACUGGGACUGAGACACGGCCCAGACUCCUACGGGAGGCAGCAGUGGGGAAUAUUGCGCAAUGGGCGGAAGCCUGACGCAGCGACGCCGCGUGGGGGAUGACGGCCUUCGGGUUGUAAACCUCUUUCGCCAUCGACGAAGGUUCUGUGGUUGUGAGGCUGCAGGGUUGACGGUAGGUGGAGAAGAAGCACCGGCCAACUACGUGCCAGCAGCCGCGGUAAUACGUAGGGUGCGAGCGUUGUCCGGAAUUAUUGGGCGUAAAGAGCUCGUAGGCGGUGUGUCGCGUCGGCCGUGAAAACCUGCAGCUUAACUGUGGGCGUGCGGUCGAUACGGGCAUCACUGGAGUUCGGCAGGGGAGACUGGAAUUCCUGGUGUAGCGGUGAAAUGCGCAGAUAUCAGGAGGAACACCGGUGGCGAAGGCGGGUCUCUGGGCCGAUACUGACGCUGAGGAGCGAAAGCGUGGGGAGCGAACAGGAUUAGAUACCCUGGUAGUCCACGCCGUAAACGGUGGGCGCUAGGUGUGGGGGCCAUUCCACGGUCUCUGUGCCGCAGCUAACGCAUUAAGCGCCCCGCCUGGGGAGUACGGCCGCAAG